rnacentral:misc_RNA from 1 species
CUUGUGGUGCCUGCACUUCAUCUGCUGUACGUACGUUGGCCAUUACUUACAUCUAAGUACAUGCAUAUCCCUACACACACACGCAUACACAAACAUUUUUGCACGUUUCCCCUCCUGCUCUUUUCAUCGCAAGGAGAAUUCAGCCAUGUCGAACAGCAGCAGCGUUUCCGUGGCAGCUCAGGCGGAGCUGAUGGAGAAGGAGAAAACGGUGGCAGAGCAUCAGCAGCGCCUGGCGUCUCUGCGUGACACGAUCAAGACGAUGGCGACACGUCAGGUCACCUUGAAGCGCACGGAGCGCCGCUGCCAGAUCACUGUAGGGGAGCUCACGAAGCUCAAGCCGGAUCACGUGGUGUACCAGGGCCUUGGCCGCGCCUUUAUGCGCGCCCCCGUCAACAAGCUGAUCGACUUGAACAACGAAGAGAUUGAGCGCUGCGAGGCCGAGGAAAAUCGCCUGUCGACCGAGAAGCAGCGUACCUCGGAGCUGGUCAUCAAGGAGGAGGGCGAGCUGCGACGCGCUGUGGAGGAGUUCCGUGCAGCGCUGAUGGUGGUGCAGGCAGCGCAGUCUCGCAGCCAGCAGAGCGCUUGAGUGAAUCAUGAAGCCGACACUCAAUUUAGGGCUAAGUGGUGCGCAUGCGUACACGCACUAGAGCGCACACUCCUAUACACCCUCACCCGCACACACACGGAGACGCAGUCACGGUUUGAGCCAGGGAAAAGGGUCGAGGUGCUCGCGGCCCUUUCCUGCACGUGAAGCUGCGGUGGCGCAUCAGCCGAGACGAUGGUUGCGCGCGUCUGUGUCUUUUUUUUUUCGCGCGUUUUUGUGCGCGUGUGUGGACGUUGUUGAGGCUGGAGAUGAGUGCUGGAGCAAACACACGCGCCGUCAACAUCAGAAGCGUAAAUGUAUGCGUGCAUUUGCCUGAGUGGUAUUAAGACCC